UACGUAGGGUGCAAGCGUUGUCCGGAAUUAUUGGGCGUAAAGAGCUCGUAGGCGGUCUGUCGCGUCUGCUGUGAAAACUCAGGGCUUAACCCUGAGCUUGCAGUGGGUACGGGCAGACUAGAGUGCGGUAGGGGGAGACUGGAAUUCCUGGUGUAGCGGUGAAAUGCGCAGAUAUCAGGAGGAACACCGGUGGGCGAAGGCGGGGUCUCUGGGCCGU
rnacentral:rRNA from 1 species